AGGAAUCUCCCACUUAUCUUAAUGUUAAUACCUUGCUAGAGGGAAAAAAAAAACUUGACUAUGACAAGGCCUCAAGGUCUCUGGUAUCUUGCACUGAAUUUCCAAAGAUGAUUGGACCCCUUCUCUUCCUCUGAAGAAAUGAAGAGUUAGUGAGAACUAUAGGAGCCCUGUGAUUCCAAUUAUCUCAGUCCAUUUUGCAAUGCUGUCAGCAAUUCUUUUACAUCACUCUACCCCUGGGAUUCUCCAAGGUUCGUUGCAACAGUUAUGAAUCUCCUCAAGCCCUUUCACUCACAGCAGAUAAGGAUGCCUCACAUAUUUCAGAGUUGGAGCCACGAAAAGGGCAUAGGAUAAUCCCUGGGACACUGGAGAUACUCAGUAUUUAUUUAGUAGGGGAAAAGAAGAAGAACUGAAUUAUUGAAUACAUG